GACGAACGCUGGCGGCGUGCUUAACACAUGCAAGUCGAACGGAAAGGCCCUGCUUUUGUGGGGUGCUCGAGUGGCGAACGGGUGAGUAACACGUGAGUAACCUGCCCUUGACUUUGGGAUAACUUCAGGAAACUGGGGCUAAUACCGGAUAGGAGCUCCUGCUGCAUGGUGGGGGUUGGAAAGUUUCGGCGGCUGGGGAUGGACUCGCGGCUUAUCAGCUUGUUGGUGGGGUAGUGGCUUACCAAGGCUUUGACGGGUAGCCGGCCUGAGAGGGUGACCGGCCACAUUGGGACUGAGAUACGGCCCAGACUCCUACGGGAGGCAGCAGUGGGGAAUAUUGCACAAUGGGCGGAAGCCUGAUGCAGCAACGCCGCGUGCGGGAUGACGGCCUUCGGGUUGUAAACCGCUUUCGCCUGUGACGAAGCGUGAGUGACGGUAAUGGGUAAAGAAGCACCGGCUAACUACGUGCCAGCAGCCGCGGUGAUACGUAGGGUGCGAGCGUUGUCCGGAUUUAUUGGGCGUAAAGGGCUCGUAGGUGGUUGAUCGCGUCGGAAGUGUAAUCUUGGGGCUUAACCCUGAGCGUGCUUUCGAUACGGGUUGACUUGAGGAAGGUAGGGGAGAAUGGAAUUCCUGGUGGAGCGGUGGAAUGCGCAGAUAUCAGGAGGAACACCAGUGGCGAAGGCGGUUCUCUGGGCCUUUCCUGACGCUGAGGAGCGAAAGCGUGGGGAGCGAACAGGCUUAGAUACCCUGGUAGUCCACGCUGUAAACGGUGGGUACUAGGUGUGGGGUCCAUUCCACGGGUUCCGUGCCGUAGCUAACGCUUUAAGUACCCCGCCUGGGGAGUACGGCCGCAAGGCUAAAACUCAAAGGAAUUGACGGGGCCCCGCACAAGCGGCGGAGCAUGCGGAUUAAUUCGAUGCAGCGCGUAGAACCUUACCUGGGUUUGACAUGGAUCGGGAGUGCUCAGAGAUGGGUGUGCCUCUUUUGGGGUCGGUUCACAGGUGGUGCAUGGCUGUCGCCAGCUCGUGUCGUGAGAUGUUGGGUUAAGUCCCGCAACGAGCGCAACCCUUGUUCACUGUUGCCAGCACGUUAUGGUGGGGACUCAGUGGAGACCGCCGGGGUCAACUCGGAGGAAGGUGGGGAUGACGUCAAGUCAUCAUGCCCCUUAUGUCCAGGGCUUCACGCAUGCUACAAUGGCUGGUACAGAGAGUGGCGAGCCUGUGAGGGUGAGCGAAUCUCGGAAAGCCGGUCUCAGUUCGGAUUGGGGUCUGCAACUCGACCUCAUGAAGUCGGAGUCGCUAGUAAUCGCAGAUCAGCAACGCUGCGGUGAAUACGUUCCCGGGGCU
rnacentral:rRNA from 1 species